rnacentral:rRNA from 1 species
CCGUCAAUUUCCUUUAAGUUUCAGCCUUGCGGCCGUACUUCCCAGGUGGCUCGCUUCACGGCCUCCCUACGGCACCGACAACGGUCGCACCGUGGCCGACACCUAGCGAGUAUCGUUUACGGCUAGGACUACCCGGGUAUCUAAUCCGGUUCGUGCCCCUAGCUUUCGUCCCUUGCCGUCAGGUCCGUUCUGGUGAGACGCCUUCGCCACUGGUGGUCCUUCAAGGAUUACAAGAUUUCACCCCUACCCCUGAAGUACCUCUCACCUCUCCCGGCCUCGAGCCGAACAGUAUCUCCUGAAAGCCCAACAGUUGAGCUGCUGGAUUUCUCAAGAGACUUAUCCGGCCGGCUACAGACCCUUUAGACCCAAUAAUAACGGUUACCACUCGAGCCGCCGGUGUUACCGCGGCGGCUGGCACCGGUCUUGCCCGGCCCUUGCUAUGCAAUGCUUUUUAGGCAUCACGACAGCCAGAUUUGUAACCUGGCACUCGAGGUCCCCUUAUCGCCGUUGCCGGCAUUGUAAAGUUUUCGCGCCUGCUGCCUCCCGUAGGAGU